GUGUGAAUGCUCUGUCAAAACAAUAGCAUGUCAGAAUGAUGUCAAGCGCGACACAUAGAGUACGCCAGUGAGGCGCACGGAUGUACAUGUGAGGUAAGGAGGAAAAUGUUCAAUGUAAAAUCAAUUUAUAUUAUGAUUUUUGCAUUCCGUUCUUACAAAUUAAAAUCUUAUAAAUACUCGGCCAUGGCUAAGAAAGCUCUUUUCUGUCUCAACCAGCGGACGAAAUAGUAGUGCGCGUCGUGAUUAGCGAAAUUAAUUAAAAAAAGUACGGUUAGUGUUCCUUAAAAGCUAUUAGUACGGGCAGUAGUACGUAGAAGCAAUAUUCGUAAAGAAUUAGAAGAUAUAGUACGUCUAUUUCGCCCAUAAUGUGCCCGAUGUAAAUGAAAACGGGUCGAAAAGAUUAAGUGCUGUGAUAAGAGAAAGGUCCAUAAAGGGCCUUUCUCUUUAUUUUCUUUUCUUCGGCACAAGUUCCGGCUAGCCGCUGGACCGACAAAGCUUCGCUAGAUGCGCACGUCUAUCCGCAAAGUCAUGGAUGAGCAGAAAAGGAAGACAUUCGAGAGACCCCCCCCCCCACUUCGGGCAGCAUACGUCGGAGAACGGUGAGUCAGCCAUCUUGGAAGGCCUUUCUAUGCGGGAAGCCGCCUGUCUCCGUGUCGAGUCGGGAAGCAUCGAUAACUGCCCCGAACUUCCGACGAAAGUAUCACCAGGCCACUACGAACCACCCACCGACAUCAGAAUACGCCACCGGAAUCAACAGCAACGCCAUCUGUCAACUGCCACCUACAAGCCAAAACCACUACGGAUCCGGAUCCCAACCAACAAUAUACGCAAGUACCCUAUGUGACGUCAGACGGUAGGAGAAGAGGUGUCCAAAAUGGACAAUUUGUUAAUAAAUAGUUUGUAAUUGGAACUUAGUGGUGCCGUCUACUUUUAUUAGAGCGCAGCCCUGAAUUAUUUAGUUUGCACUUCUUAUUGUUUUUCGUUGUCCGUGUUCAAAAGGGAACAUUCAAGCCUCGUCUUCCUCUGGUGAAUAUAAAAUUGCUUUCUUACGGCUUUUGAGCACCCUUGUUGUAAGGCUUUAUUUGUAUGUCCGUCGUUCUCGUGCAAACUCCUCAAGCAAGUGUUGUUUUAUCAUUGUGUUCCCCGUGCCAAUGAGCCUCACCAAGGAACUGAAUGAGAUUGGAAAGAUGCUGCUCAAACGACCCUGUGAUUCCUUCCCAUCCGGU